rnacentral:rRNA from 1 species
UACGUAGGGUGCGAGCGUUGUCCGGAAUUACUGGGCGUAAAGAGCUCGUAGGUGGUUUGUCGCGUUGUUCGUGAAAACUCACAGCUCAACUGUGGGCGUGCGGGCGAUACGGGCAGACUGGAGUUCGGCAGGGGAGACUGGAAUUCCUGGUGUAGCGGUGAAAUGCGCAGAUAUCAGGAGGAACACCGGUGGCGAAGGCGGGUCUCUGGGCCGAUACUGACGCUGAGGAGCGAAAGCGUGGGGAGCGAACAGG